rnacentral:lncRNA from 1 species
UUUAUUUCACUUAUACAGAGACUGGGGAUCAGAGAGGUUGUGUGACUUGCCCAGGUCACUCAGUUAGAAAAUGCCACAGCUGGAAAUUUGAAACUGGCUGAUUGGGACACCAACUUGUUUUUUCUUCUAGUACUCCCGUCUUAAGGGAGCAACAAAUCUUCAGUCUCAAAAAUGAGGAGGAUAAUAUAGUAGCCAUCUCGCUACCUCUCCCACCAGCAUGAUCAAUAGCAUCGGCUGCUGAUGAAGGACAGGCCAACAAAAACGCUAACAGAACGACCCUCACAUCCCCUGUUCGUGGGCUUCUUAUGCUGCUCCUCAAAGGGAGGGAGUGCUAUCAGCGGCAUUUUAUUUUUGCCUCAAUUUUCCUGGGUAUCUAUAGAAAAAGUUUCUUUUUUAUUUUCAAAUUUUAAAAUGUAUAUAAAUCCCUCUGGUAUUUACAUUUUCAUAUUUCAAAAUUCCAAAGAUGGCCACAUUAAUAUCUCUCAUCUGACAUCCUCUUCUAGAACUUUGCUGUCCUCCCUCCCCAUCAAGAGCUGGACUUGAAUUUCUCUGUCCUUGAAUCUCGGUGGGUUGGUAGGACACUUGUGAUUAACACAAUGCACUGGUUGUGAUACUAGGUACCUUCCUAAGCUAGGCCAUAAGAUGCCAUGUGGCUUCCAUCUUGUUGCCACUUGCCUGUGGAGUCUUGUUUUGGUGCAGCUUUCUUCCCUACUGAGGACGCGGAGUGACCUUUUGUGUAAAAUUGGCUGGCCUUGCCUGUGUGAGCACAUCUCCUUAAUCUCCUGUCCUCUGGCACUUUUACAUAUUGACUGGACAGAGGUCAGCUCCAUGGGAAACAUUCUUUGUUGCAGUUAAGCCAAACCCUUCAGGUCUUAGAAUUGGUUUAAACCUCUUUUCACCUCCUCUCCAUUAUUUGCGCUUUCUUUCCUAUUCUUCUCCAAAUUCUACCCUCCCUGCCUUCUCUCAUCCUUUGUCCGUCUCUCCGUGUUUCUCUCUGCUUUGCUCUUCCCAACUUUGAUAUCUGUCACUUUCAGCAACUUUGUUCCGGGAUGUCUCCCAUGCUGUCCUCUGGAAGGACAGCUCAGGGCAGGCAGAGAUCUGAGGGUGAUUAAGCCUCUCUCUGAAGACUUUGGAAAAAGCCUUGGACUUGGGGUAAAGAUCUCAGGCCCCCACCAGCUGUGUGAUCUCAGGCCAAUCGCUGUACCUCUGUGAGCCUGUUUCUAAUCCAUAAAAUGGAAUAAUGAUAGUCAUCUUGCCUUCCUCAGGGAGCUAUUAUGAGGCUCACAGAGCUAAUGAAUGAGAAAGCAUUUUGUAAAGUAGAAAGUGCUGUACGAAUUUAAACCCUUUUUUAUUAUUGUUGUUAUCAUGAUCAAAAUUUUUAUGUCUCACUAAUGUUCAUCUUACAACUCAUCAGUAUUAAGAAGAAUACGCUCUAAGUGGAACAAAAUCUUGUUUCUCCGUCGUGCAUGAAUGUAUGGCAUAUUUGUGGGAAAUAAAUAUUACUGUUUUGUGGGGCCUUUAUCAA